GCCUAGCUUUACUUUUUCUACUCAUGUAAAUAUCAUUUAUAUGAAAAUUAGGUUUUACAACAUAUGUUAAACAUAUUCAUAUGAUCCUUUGGCAAAAAAAAGUUAAAAACAAAGAGAUCAAAAAAGUUAUGGGAGAAAUCUUGGUAGAUGUUAUCGCAGCUAAAAUACCAUUAAUUUUCGAUAAUUGCGUCUGAUUUUUUUAGAGGGAUGAUGUUUUUGAUAUCUCGAUCAAUAUACUUUCGUCUAGUACUUCUAUGAAGGUGUAGUUUUUUUAAAACUCUUCUUCAGUAAUGUAAUCUAAACCGUUUUCCGUUGUCGUAGAUUUCUAUCGUCUCUUUGGCCUUUGGUAAGAUAAUACAUUAAACUUUUCUUCUAUAUGAUUUUGAUACCGCCGACUGUUGAAAUGUUUUA
rnacentral:sRNA from 1 species